rnacentral:rRNA from 1 species
GGCGGCGUGCUUAACACAUGCAAGUCGAGCGGAAAGGCCCUUCGGGGUACUCGAGCGGCGAACGGGUGAGUAACACGUGAGUAACCUGCCCCAAACUUUGGGAUAACCCUCGGAAACGGGGGCUAAUACCGAAUAUUACUUCUGGUCGCAUGGCUGGUGGUGGAAAGUUUUUCGGUUUGGGAUGGACUCGCGGCCUAUCAGCUUGUUGGUGGGGUAAUGGCCUACCAAGGCGAGGACGGGUAGCCGGCCUGAGAGGGCGACCGGCCACACUGGGACUGAGACACGGCCCAGACUCCUACGGGAGGCAGCAGUGGGGAAUAUUGCACAAUGGGCGGAAGCGUGAUGCAGCGACGCCGCGUGAGGGAUGACGGCCUUCGGGUUGUAAACCUCUUUCAGCAGGGACGAAGCGCAAGUGACGGUACCUGCAGAAGAAGCGCCGGCCAACUACGUGCCAGCAGCCGCGGUAAGACGUAGGGCGCGAGCGUUGUCCGGAUUUAUUGGGCGUAAAGAGCUCGUAGGCGGCUUGUCGCGUCGACUGUGAAAACUUGGGGCUCAACCCCAAGCUUGCAGUCGAUACGGGCAGGCUAGAGUUCGGUAGGGGAGACUGGAAUUCCUGGUGUAGCGGUGAAAUGCGCAGAUAUCAGGAGGAACACCGAUGGCGAAGGCAGGUCUCUGGGCCGAUACUGACGCUGAGGAGCGAAAGCGUGGGGAGCGAACAGGAUUAGAUACCCUGGUAGUCCACGCUGUAAACGUUGGGCGCUAGGUGUGGGGGGCCUCUCCGGGUUUCUGCGCCGCAGCUAACGCAUUAAGCGCCCCGCCUGGGGAGUACGGCCGC